rnacentral:tRNA from 6 species
GGAGGGAUGGCCGAGUGGUUGAAGGCGCACGCUUGGAAAGCGUGUUUACUUAACUGUAACGAGGGUUCGAAUCCCUCUCCCUCUU